UUCCGAAGAAAAUAAUGCUCUCCAACAGGGUCCACUGGAGAGAUCACUGCAGAACUCUGUGGCCUUCGAGAGGCAGAAGAACAUGGACAACAGAGUGGCCAUCAUCAGGGGCAGCGUGCAGCUGAUGGACCAGGCUGUAAAAUCCAUCGAGGACAUGCAGGAUGAUUUCGAUUUCCGCUACAAGACCCUGCAGGCACGAGAAUCGUCAGAUGCUCGACAGAACCCUGAGAUGAUGAAACAGGAAGUAACGACCCUGCAGGCUAUGCUUAACAGUCUGGACUUUAAAAGGAAGGUAUGCAUUUGUAUCAAUGU